CCUACGGGGGGCAGCAGUGGGGAAUAUUGGACAAUGGGGGGAACCCUGAUCCAGCCAUGCCGCGUGUGUGAAGAAGGCCCUCGGGUUGUAAAGCACUUUCAGUGAGGAAGAACGCCUGGUGGUUAAUACCCAGCAGGAAAGACAUCACUCACAGAAGAAGCACCGGCUAACUCCGUGCCAGCAGCCGCGGUAAUACGGAGGGUGCGAGCGUUAAUCGGAAUUACUGGGCGUAAAGCGCGCGUAGGUGGCUUGAUAAGCCGGUUGUGAAAGCCCCGGGCUCAACCUGGGAACGGCAUCCGGAACUGUCAAGCUAGAGUGCAGGAGAGGAAGGUAGAAUUCCCGGUGUAGCGGUGAAAUGCGUAGAGAUCGGGAGGAAUACCAGUGGCGAAGGCGGCCUUCUGGACUGACACUGACACUGAGGUGCGAAAGCGUGGGUAGCAAACAGGAUUAGAUACCCUAGUAGUC
rnacentral:rRNA from 1 species